rnacentral:rRNA from 1 species
UCAGGUAGGACUACCCGCUGAACUUAAGCAUAUCAAUAG